rnacentral:tRNA from 2 species
GCAGAUGUAGCUCAGUGGUAGAGCAUGUGCUUAGCAUGUAUGAGGCCCUGGGUUUAAUUCCCAGCACCAAUA